GAGCUCCGGGCUCCUGCCAAGCUAGCGCCGCUGCCGUCUCCCUUCAGCCGCCAUCAUGAUUAUCUACCGGGACCUCAUCAGCCACGAUGAGAUGUUCUCCGACAUUUACAAGAUCCGAGAGAUCGCGGACAGCCUAUGCUUGGAGGUGGAGGGGAAGAUGGUCAGUAGGACAGAGGGUAACAUUGAUGACUCGCUAAUUGGUGGAAAUGCUUCCGCUGAAGGACCUGAGGGCAAAGGUACCGAAAGCAGUUAUCACUGGUGUUGAUAUUGUCAUGAACCAUCACUUGCAGGAAACCAGCUUCACAAAAGAAGCCUACAAGAAGUACAUCAAAGAUUACAUGAAGUCAAUCAAAGGCAAACUUGAAGAACAGAGACCAGAAAGAGUAAAACCUUUUAUGACAGGGCUGCAGAACAAAUCAAGCACAUCCUGGCAAUUUCAAAAACUACCAGCUCUUUAUUGGUGAAAACAUGAAUCCAGAUGGCAUGGUUGCUCUCCUGGACUACCGUGAGGAUGGUGUGACCCCAUAUAUGAUAUUCUUUAAGGAUGGUUUAGAAAUGGAAAAAUGUUAACAAAUUUGGCGAUUACUUUGGAUCUAUCACCUGUCACCAUAACUGGCUGCUGCUUGUCAUCCACACAACACCAGGACUUAAGAUAAACGGGACUGAUGUCAUCUUGAGCUCUUCAUUUAUUUUGACCGUGAUUUAUUUGGAGUGGAGGCAUUGUUUUUAAGGAAAAAACAUGUCAUGUAGGUUGUUUAAAAAUAAAAUGCAUUUAAACUCAUUCGAGAGAACGCCUUUUAGUUUAAUAC